rnacentral:misc_RNA from 1 species
AGAAUAAAGCUCAGUGCUGAGAAGACUAUAUUCAUCUUUGUCAAGAACAUUUUGCCGCCCACUGCUGCCAUGAUGUCUGCAAUUUAUGAGGAAAACAAAGACGAGGAUGGCUUCCUCUACAUGACUUAUAGUGGGGAGAACACAUUUGGAGAAUCAUUCUGAACUGCACACUGAAGAGUGUGAGAAGACAAUGAACAAAUGUAAAUUCUGUCUUUCUGUUCUUACCACGGGGCAUCCAUGUUGAAACUUGCUAUGAUGCUGGCCGUUCUUAAGAUUUGAAGUAAAUAUUUGUGUUUGCCUGUUCUUAAGAUUUCCCAUGAGUAAAUUAAGUGGUAGUGGAUUUUACCAUACCAACUUAAUUUUGCAUGGAUGCAAUCUAGUUUUACUGCUAGCAGGGUUUUUUUUGUGUUAUAUAUA